rnacentral:rRNA from 1 species
GAUGAACGCUAGCUACAGGCUUAACACAUGCAAGUCGAGGGACCGGCGCACGGGUGAGUAACGCGUAUCCAACCUUCCCAUUACUGUGGGAUAACCUGCCGAAAGGCAGACUAAUACCGCAUAGUAAUGGAUGGGGAUGCGUCUGAUUAGCUUGUUGGCGGGGUAACGGCCCACCAAGGCGACGAUCAGUAGGGGUUCUGAGAGGAAGGUCCCCCACAUUGGAACUGAGACACGGUCCAAACGCCUACGGGAGGCAGCAGUGAGGAAUAUUGGUCAAUGGACGGAAGUCUGAACCAGCCAAGUAGCGUGCAGGAUGACGGCCUAUGGGUUGUAAACUGCUUUUGUAUGGGGAUGAAUAGUUAGAAGGAUUGACGGUACCGGAAUAGAAAGCCACGGCUAACUACGUGCCAGCAGCCGCGGUAAUAC